UACGGAGGGGGCUAGCGUUGUUCGGAAUUACUGGGCGUAAAGCGCACGUAGGCGGCUUUGCAAGUUAGAGGUGAAAGCCCGGGGCUCAACUCCGGAAUUGCCUUUAAAACUGCAUCGCUAGAAUUGUGGAGAGGUGAGUGGAAUUCCUAGUGUAGAGGUGAAAUUCGUAGAUAUUAGGAAGAACACCAGUGGCGAAGGCGGCUCACUGGCCCGGUACUGACGCUGAGGUGCGAAAGCGUGGGGAGCAAACAGG
rnacentral:rRNA from 1 species